rnacentral:misc_RNA from 1 species
CUGACAUUGAUUCAACAUCUGAAUCACGAUAUAAAUGAUCAAAAGGAUUUUGCAAAUACACAAUAUCGACAUCAGACAGGAGGACACCGUAACCAAGCUGCAAAAAUUCCCUCAAAAUUCGGAACUUCAACCCUGAGACAGCAUGGUUGCCUCCACUUUUUCCAAUAAAAUCAACAUUCUCAUCAGGGUCCCUUUUAUAAACUGGGACAUCAUUUUCCUUGCAGAACUCCACUAUAGCGUCAUCUAAAGCCACGACCAGAUAAUUGGGGAUACCCACUUUUUUAAUACUGUUGAACCAAACCUCCAACAUGGAUUUCACAUUUGAAUUAGCAAGUGCAACUAUGACCUCUUUGCCAACUGCAAUCUCUGCCAAGAGCUUUGCUAAUCUUGGGUUCACUGACUCAUCAGGCAUAACAGGAGGGUUAGUUCUCAAACUUUUGACAGUUCCAAAAGGUCCAGCUUUCUGAGGUUGACUCGACACCACCAGUUGCUCCUGUGUACGACCAUUUCCCUGCUGAGCCGCCUGAAGCUUUUGAUUUAGCUCUCUCACCUGCUUUUGCAACUCUGCAUUCUUUUCAGUCAACUUCCUAUAUUCAGAUUUCAUCAUGUUUACCCCCUCCGUGGAUUCACAGUUGGGCAAGUCAACCUGAAGAUUAGAUUUAGAAACAGGGUGACUUUGAGACCUUGGAUCGGGAGAAAAAAAUCCAUUAGGAUACAAGAAAGCAAACACACAACCCAACAAAACUCCGAUCGCAAUUGCUCCAGCAAUUCGAGAUCCUCUUAUAGAUUGACCAUACUUCUCCCUACGACCCGCCAUUUUCUCUUCACUUUUCAAGACAAAAUAUCCCUUUUUUUCUCUUUCUUUUUUUUAUAACAUGAAGUAAAG